rnacentral:rRNA from 1 species
ACGCUGGCGGCAGGCCUAACACAUGCAAGUCGAGCGGUAGAGAGAAGCUUGCUUCUCUUGAGAGCGGCGGACGGGUGAGUAAUGCCUAGGAAUCUGCCUGGUAGUGGGGGAUAACGUUCGGAAACGGACGCUAAUACCGCAUACGUCCUACGGGAGAAAGCAGGGGACCUUCGGGCCUUGCGCUAUCAGAUGAGCCUAGGUCGGAUUAGCUAGUUGGUGAGGUAAUGGCUCACCAAGGCGACGAUCCGUAACUGGUCUGAGAGGAUGAUCAGUCACACUGGAACUGAGACACGGUCCAGACUCCUACGGGAGGCAGCAGUGGGGAAUAUUGGACAAUGGGCGAAAGCCUGAUCCAGCCAUGCCGCGUGUGUGAAGAAGGUCUUCGGAUUGUAAAGCACUUUAAGUUGGGAGGAAGGGCAGUAGACUAAUACUCUGCUGUUUUGACGUUACCGACAGAAUAAGCACCGGCUAACUCUGUGCCAGCAGCCGCGGUAAUACAGAGGGUGCAAGCGUUAAUCGGAAUUACUGGGCGUAAAGCGCGCGUAGGUGGUUUGUUAAGUUGGAUGUGAAAUCCCCGGGCUCAACCUGGGAACUGCAUUCAAAACUGACUGACUAGAGUAUGGUAGAGGGUGGUGGAAUUUCCUGUGUAGCGGUGAAAUGCGUAGAUAUAGGAAGGAACACCAGUGGCGAAGGCGACCACCUGGACUGAUACUGACACUGAGGUGCGAAAGCGUGGGG